AGCCAUGCGAGUCGUUGUAGCAAUACAAGGCGGACGGCUCAGUAACACGUAGUCAACCUAACCUAUGGACGUGGAUAACCUCGGGAAACUGAGAAUAAACCGCGAUAGAUCAUAAUGCCUGGAACGGCUUAUGGUCCAAACAAUUUAUUGCCGUAGGAUGGGACUGCGGCCUAUCAGCUUGUUGGUGAGGUAAUGGCCCACCAAGGCUAUAACAGGUACGGGCUCUGAGAGGAGAAGCCCGGAGAUGGGUACUGAGACACGGACCCAGGCCCUAUGGGGCGCAGCAGGCGAGAAACCUUAGCAAUGUGCGAAAGCACGACUAGGUUAAUCCGAGUGGUUCCUGCUAAAGGAACCUUUUGUCAGUCGUAAAACCACAGACGAAUAAGGGGUGGGCAAGUCUGGUGUCAGCCGCCGCGGUAAUACCAGCACCUCGAGUGGUCAGGAGGUUUAUUGGGCCUAAAGCAUCCGUAGCCGGCUAUGCAAGUCUCCGGUUAAAUCCAACUGCUCAACAGAUGGGCUGCCGGAGAUACUACAUAGCUAGGGAGCGGGAGAGGAAGACGGUAUUCUGUGGGUAGGGGUAAAAUCCACUGAUCCAUAGAGGACCACCAGUGGCGAAGGCGGUCUUCCAGAACGCGUUCGACGGUGAGGGAUGAAAGCUGGGGGAGCAAACCCGGAUUAGAUACCCGGGUAGUCCCAGCUGUAAACGAUGCAAACUCGGUGAUGCGUGGCUUAUGACAACGCAGUGCCGCAGGAAGCGUUAAGUUUGCCGCCUGCAAGUGCGGACGCCAAGUCUGA
rnacentral:rRNA from 1 species